rnacentral:lncRNA from 1 species
UUUCAAUUUCUAUUAAAAUUCUUACAUGGCCACAUGUGCUUUUUCUCAGCCUUUGGGCCUCCAGGCCUGGGCUAAUUUGCAUGUCUGGUUCAGAUAAUGUCUGAGGUCCUUACAGUCUGAAAUGGAGUCUCAAUUCUAUGAUAUAGUAAGUGAGACUACAUUCCACCUACUAAGAAUGGAUGGUUCUUUUUAUCUUAAUUACUGUGCCUCUGUCUGAUACAUAGAUGCAGGACUCAGGGCCUGAUGCAUUUCCUGCUUACCUUCUAGGCCACAAGAAAAAAACACAAUAUUCUUUAGGGAUGAACUCACCUGUUCACUUCCCCCACACUGACCCCAGAGUCUUGUUCUUUACUGCAAAACACUUCAGCCAUCUGUCAAAAGGCAAAUCCCAGGAAGUGUUAGGUUUAAAGUUUCUUGAUUGUAAUGGCAAUCCUAAAUCAAUGUGAGUCUAAGACCACAGACUGGAAAAAUCACCCUGCUUACAAAUAUGCAAAAACUGGAAGAAAUAUAUUUACAUUAAGCAAUGGACUGGGCCCAGCUUACCUUUCCCUAUCCCUCAUCAAAACAUCAAGAGAUGCUAUGAGCUUUUCAGCUACCCUCUGACAUAAAGCAAUUAUCAUUACAUAAAGAACUAAUAUAAAGGAAUUGGCUUUCCAGAACUAUGGGAUCAAUGUAGGGCCAUUCAGGCAUGUUUCAACAGAAAAUCGUGGAGCCUUAGAAAUCUUUUUCAUCAUGUUAGACAGAUCAAGUUUUUGCUCUAAUUAUACAUUUUCAGUGAGACCCUCCCAGGCUAGUGCUGCCUACACCCCUCUCCUGCUUUUCCUUCUCUUGGUAGUAUUUAUCACCUUCUAAUCUACAAUGUAGUUUACUGUUUGUUUUGAGUGUAAGCUCCACAGAGGAAGGAUGUUUGUCUAGCCCUCAUUGUAUUCUCAGCACAUAAACAUGUCUGGCACCAUAACAGACAUUCAAUAAAACUGAAUGAAUAAUGAAUGAAUGCAGAUAGAAUAUAUCAAUUAAGUCCAACAAGCUGGUGUUGAUGGGGAGAAGCAAGAACUAGUUUGGGGGUAAAACAAAGGUGAUAAAGAUACAGUCCUUCUCUUCCAAAAGAUUAUAGCCUAGUGAUGGAGACAAGUACCUAAAGAAUGCCACUAGAAGACUAGCAAGACAAGGGCAAUAAACAUAGUGUGACUCACCAGGGAGCCCUGACAUGUAGAACUUUGAAAGACAAGAAUGCAAAAAACUGAAUUGUUAGGCAGACACCGAACUAGAUCCUGCAUGGAGAGGGAAGGCAACCUCACUGUGAAUAUCUCAGCCUGGGAAGGUCAGAUCAGGGCUCUCUGCAGGGUACAGGGGGUUGAGCCGCUUAUUUAUUCUCAAGCCUGGUUAGCUAAGUGAACUGUUGUGUUUUCUUUUUCCAACCUGGAAUUCUCUUAAACCCGAGGNAGGUCUAUGCCAGGGACACAUCCAGGGUCACAUCCAGCAAAGACCUUCCCUUCCUAAAAGGAACUUGCAGGAAGAAAAUCUCCAAGCUCAUAUUUCUCUAUCCUGGGAGGCUCUUCUGGAAUCUAAGAGAGCAUUUAGUGUCAAAUUCAGCCACACUGAGCAUUGCAUAAUAGAGAAACUGUUUAGGCCAUUGUAUAUGGGAGGCUGAAUUAUCCACAAUGGCUGGCAGUGCCCUGAAUCUCCAGAACCAGGCUCAGGUCUCUUUGCUUUGGCAAAAACUGAUCUCAGGACUGCCCGAAACCAGAAACCCCAGGCAGAGCUCUUUGGUGACUCUUCUGAAAAUGAAUCACAAUAGGAUUUGUCAUCUUGGUACUCCAUAAAGCCAGGGAAUGUCAGCCUUCACUAAAGUAAAAAGUGAGUUUGUUAGAAUCAGUGUGUGAUUUUUUCUGCUGAUAAAGCAUCUGCCACCACAAGGAAGUUCUGAGAUUGUCAACUACUGUGCUGGUUGAAACAGGCACAUUUUUGCACACUGUAUAUUUGGCCUCAAGUUUCUCUUCUCAAAAGUCAGUUCUCAGAAUGUAGCCUCCUUGCACCACGUUCAGGAACUCCACUGUGCACAUUCAGGCUGUUCCUUGGAGCUAGUACACCAUACUGGAGAUCUGGAUGCCUAAGAAGCCGAUGCAGAUGGUGUCAGGCUCUGGAAGGGGAUGGUUUGUGCAGGAGUGUGAGCUGCUAGCUCCCUUGUCUACCUUUUCCACGUUGGUUGUAGUCAUAUUUCUGUUGGUGUGUCUGGUACCAGAACUGAUCACACUGCCAGGCAUCCGUGUAACAAGAAGUAGGAAAAACAAUACCCUGAACCCUCAUUUCAGCAAUGACAUUGCACUGCUUAGCAAUGGGACACAUACUAUCAUGCUAAGCAAAAUAAGCUAGAUUCAGAAAGUCAAGGGUCCAAUGUUUUCUCUCAUAUGUGGAAGAGAGAGGAAUAAGAAAGGGAGCUCACAAAAAUAGAAGGGAGACUAAUAGAGUAGAGGGAACAGGAUCAAGAGAGGGGAGGAGAAGAACACAUGAAAGGACUGGGGAACAAAAAUCUACCACAAUAUGCUAUAUCCAUGUAUGAAUAUACCACAAUGAAUCUUGAUUUUAUAUAAUCAUAAUGUAGUAAUUAAAAGAAUAAUAAUAGAAAGGAGAUCAGUAGAGAAGAGCAAGUGGAUAGUGGGAAGAGAAAAGAAGGGGAAUGAGAUUGAUCAAAUUAUGCAAUGUGCCUAUAAAAAUAUAUCACAAUAAAUCCUACCAUUCUGUAUAAUUAAAAUUCACCAAUUAAAAAAACAAUGGGAUAGAUUCUAAUAAAUGCAUGGUUAGGUGAUUUCAUCCUGUAAGAACAUCACAGAGUAUACUUAGACAGACUAAGGGAACUGUGACAUCACUAGGCAAUACAACCUAAUGGGACCAUUUUCUUGUAUGCCAUCUGCUGUUGACAGAAAAAUCAUUAUGUGGUAUAUGACUGUAUAGGAAAUGAAAUGCAGGCCACUUAAUCAGUGGCAUCCAAUCCUUGACUUCCCUGUAGGGUCAAACUUUUAGUCUCUACCCCAAAUAUGUGGAUGGUUGUCCAACACACUCAGAGGGCACACAGGGUUGACAUAGUCUAUGUUCCUUAUCACUCCAAACAUAAAUCACCUGAAGACUUAGGGGGGUAGGAAGAAGUCAAAGUAGGAAUCCUGGAUUCUCUUUAGCUAAUAAACAAUGAAAGGAAGGGUGUACAUUUAGCAAGGAGAAAAUAUUGGCCCACUUUUCUCAUUCAUUCAACCAAUAGUGUAUGCUUACUGUAUGAGUCAGAGAACACAGCCUAGCUCCCUGCCCUUGGGGACCUGACUUUCAGGUGGGGAAUACAAACAACAGAAAGCUAACAUGAAUUGAUUAUUGAUUCAGUUAGGCUAUAACUGGAAAUAUUAGAAAAGCAGAGUAAAAAGGAGAGAGGAAGGGGAAAGAUUUGGCAUUUGGGAGGCUGGCCAACAUGUUUCUGAGUGUGAAUAUUUCUUUAGAUAUAUAAUAAGGGUGCAAAUCCUAAUACUGAUUGCUAACUUCUAGGAGGUCAACUCUGUGCUAGGCACUGUGUGGAGUGUUUACUUGGAUAUCUCAUUUUGUUUCAUGGCUGUGUCAGUUCUUCAAAUCUCUAAGGCAGGAUGCCAGACCUUAGGUCUUGGCCUCAGCCUUCUCCAUCUUCAUACUUUUGUCUUUGAAGCAGGAAUUGCUUUCAAAACAUUGAUUUUAAUUUCAGUCUUCCAUUGAGUGGGUGUCCCCAAGAACUCUAGCACUUACAGAAUACAGUGGUUAAAUCCUAAAUAAAUGGGCUCUGGCUGUCCUUUGAAGAUUUAGGUAGAGUGGUAGAAUUUUCCAUGGAAAUGGAGGGGAAUGAAAAAGCAAAAGGGAGGGAGCCCUGGGAUCUCUGUUGUUUUGACUCCACAGACCACUCCACUUGUUGGUUGGCUGAAGAGGUGCUGACGACAUGGGCUGUAGCUGUUUAUUGCUCUAUUAACUUCACAGUGAGAACAAGUUCAGGCUGAUUGCUGGGUGGCCUCCCUGUAUAUGUCACUUCCUUUUUUUUCCCUUUUUUAACUUUUGGGAGGACUGUAUGGUUUGUUGGGAUUUCUAGGCUUUUGCUGUGAGAAAGGUCUGCCAGAAGGUCUGGCAUCCCUCCUCAAGACUGAGACAUGGCAGAAAAGAUGGGACUGCCAGGCCACUUCCCUGGUUUCGAACUUUGAUUGGUGACUUAGAGAAGAACCCAUUGACCAUCUACCCACUGUUGGUGAGAGGGAAUUCAUUCCUACAAUUCUGGAACUUUCCAGGCCUGCUCUGUCCCUGGAGCUAGAUAAAAGAAUAGGAAGAAAAUCUAAUAAGAAGUCAAUAGCAACUGUACCCAUGAUGGGCCAUAAUUUGGACUCAAAAAAUAUAGUUCUGAGUGGUUUUAGCAUAGCUUUCAGCCAGGAUUGAAGCCUUAAGUGAUUUAGUAGAAAAAAUUUGAAACAGAGAUUUUUAUCAGUGCAGUAAGUGAGAACACAAGUCAGGACUUCAGAUGACACAUAUAGAUUCCUUGAACUUAGUGGGAUUUUCUUUCUCUCUUUCUUUUUCUUUAUAAUUUUUUCAUUUGUUCCAAUUAGUUACACAUGACAGUAGAAUGCAUUUAUGCACUUUGAUAGAUCAUACAUAAAUGGGGUAUCAUUUUUCAUUUUUCUGAUUAUACAUGUUGUAGAACCACAUCAGUCAUGCAGUCAUAUAUGUACAUAAGGUAAUAACGUCUGUUUCAUUCUAUUAUCUUUCUUAUCCCCAUAUCUCCUCUCCUCCCUUCACUCCCCUCUACCUAGUCUAAAGUAACUCUAUUCUUCCCUAGCACCCCGCCCCCCUUAUUGUGAAUUAACAUCUGCAUAUCAGAGAAAACAUUAGGCCUUUGGAUUUUUGGGAUUGGCUUAUUUUGCUUAGCAUGAUAUUCUCAAACUCCAUCCAUUUACCAGCAAAUGCCAUAACUUCAUUCUUCUUUAAAGCUGAGUAAUAUUCCAUUGAAUAUAUGUACCACAUUUUCUUUAUACAUUCAUCUAUUGAAGGGCACCUAGAUUGAUUCCAUAGUUUAGCUAUUUUGAAUUGAAUUGUUAUAAACAUUGAUGAGGCCACAUCACUGUAGUAUGCUCAACACCAAAAAAAUAACCCAGUGAAUAAAUGGGCUAAGGAACUGAACAGACGCUUCUCAGAAGAAAAAAAAUACUAUCAACAAAUAUAAGAAAAAAUGUUCAACAUCUCUAGCAAUUAGAGAAAUACAAAUCAAAACCACUCUAAGAUUUCAUCUCACUCCAGUCAGAAUGACGAUCAUCAAGAAUACAGGCAACAAUAACUGUUGGUGAGAAUGUGGGGGAAAAGGAACACUUAUUGCUGGUGGGACUACAAAUUGAUGCAACCACUAUGGAAACCAGUAUGCAGAUUUCUCAGAAAACUUGGAAUGGAAUCACCAUUUGACCCAGCUAUCUGACUCCUCAGUUCAUACCCAAAGAAUUUCUUUCUUUUUCUUGAAUUUGUCACUUUCAAUUUACUUUCUAUAGUGUUCUUACAAAAUGCCCUUCCCUUAUGCUCCCAGAUGCAUCCUACACACUACAUGAGGCUGUUCUCCAUUGCACUCUGAUUCCCAGGUACCACUGUAUACCUGAACCCUUUCCCCCUUUGACUUCUCCUGUCUGAAUUACCAAGUUUACAAAGCUUACUUAGCUUCCUCAACAUGGCCUUGACUGACCCUUUCUCCUUGCUCUCUCCUGUCCCUCCACAUCCCUCCUCUUUGGUCAUGCACUUGACAUCACACCACCCACACCUGCAAAUUCCUGCUGCUGCUUUGCUCACACUGCCCUCUCCAGUGAGUCCCCACUCAAGUCCACCAUCCCUGUGAAGGUAUCUUUGCUCCCAGUUCUACUUGCCUCUCCCUCCUUAACCUCCAGUAACCCUUGAAAUCUCCACCAUGCCUUUAGCAUGGAACCACAUUUCUUCACUAUCUUGAUGAUCAUCUCAGAUCUAAGUGCAAGGCCAGGAAAUUUGUUUCAUUAUUCUGUCACAUCUACUUUGAGGCUGAGCAUAAUACAGUGCAGAAGUUCCUCCCAAAUAAAUGACUGGAGGCUAGCCUCCUCCCUUUCCCCACCCAAGGACAAAUCUUGGAUGACUCUCACCUUCCCCUUUGUUUAUCCCACCACUGACAGACCCCUGCAGAGCCCUUCAGGAAAUGCCCGUAGAAACUUCAUCCUCACUCCAAGCUCAUAACUAGAUGGCUUUCCAUUUUCUUGGUUUGUUUUUAAACAAGAAGAAUCUGUUUUCAGGAGGAAUCACAAAAGAGAUUUUAAAAAGUCAGAAAAAAAUAAAGACAGAUGACUUAAAGGAGUUAAAUUUUGUCUCUUUGUCCCCUUCCCUGGCCUUCCUCUGCAUCCCCCUCCCCCUCACUCUCUGUUUUGCUUUUCAUGCCAAUUGCUAAAGACUGUAAUUUAAAAACUGAACUGACUUUUCCAGAGCCAUGAAGAAUGUGCAUCUGCACGUGGAUUUUUCCACAAGAAAAUUGUCCCUGUCUUUUGGUUCUCCUUAGCCAGUAACAGUGAGAACAGGCAAUCGGAUGCAUCCAUCCAUAUUCCCAGUUCUUAUUCUAAUUUGUUGGAGAGGCUCAGAAGGGGUCAAAAGGGAUGGUUUGUGUUUCACCCUGUCAGACUGCUGUUUGAUGAGGUUUGUGCUCCAUUUGUUCAGAUGGUUUUUAUGGUUUCUUUGUUGUUCGUGGAAAGACUUUGAAAGUCAUAAUUCUGUAUCCUUAAGCCCUCCUGCUAUUCCUGCUCCAAGUCUCAAUGGGACUCACACCACGAGAAAGGAAAUGACGAAAGUAUCCAGCCAGAUAGUUAGGCAAUUUUUGAGCAAAGUUCUGUAGAUGUUUGGACUCUUUGAAAAAAGAUUGGGGAACACAAAAGUUCAGGUUCCAUGGAAUUUUCUCCAGUAUAUCCCAGAAGCAAGCUUCUAGUCAUUUCCAAGCAGGAACCACAAUUCAGACCUUUUCCCUUUCUCUAUGGUCAUCAAACCCAGCCCCCUCUACUACCAGCAGAAAAGUCUGAGAGACCUAAGACAGCCUGGAAUAGGCUCACACUCUAAGAAUCCUCUGACAACAUCAGUGUGCUGAAAUAAGAGGCUGGUGGUGGCCUCCCAGGGAUGUCAAAGGCUUAGACUUUGAGAUAUUCAGCCAUGGAACUUUUCAUCUGGACAUUCCCCAUCUCUUCAGAGUUGCUCAAGGGACUUUGCUAUACAACUAUGGACACGUUUUCUUUCUAACCUCUUGUUAAUUUAUAUUUGUAGAAAACUGUAUAAGGUGCUUUACAUACGUAAUCUCAUUUGGUCAUUAGUACAACCCCAUAAGGUAAAAUUGUAUUUUCAUAUUAAAGACAGUUAAGGCUCAGAGCAGUCUUAUGAUUCAUUAAUCACCAACAGAUAAGGCAGAGAUGGAACUUCAACUGUUCCUCCAACUUCAAAUUUAGGGUUGUCCAUACAACUUCAGCUUCCGGAUAAGACUGAGACCUUCUCAAAAUUAGUAUUCAUGUUUCUUCCACCACCCCACCCCCAAACCCAGGGGAAAAGUACACUUCAGGAAUUUAGUGAUGUUUAAAAAGUUAUUGCUGAACUAAAUUUAAUUUCUUCUGAUCACUAAGAGAUAAUCUCCAUGCAACCUUUUUGCAAAGCAAGCAAAGCUAACAUAUCCCUAUUUAUUGUUUUUCAUUAGAUCCUUCUUAUGACUCAGUCAGGAGAGGAGGAUGGGGCAAUAACAUGAAUUCUGGCCUCAACAAAAGUAAGUAAAUGUCAUAGCAUUCUUUGGGAGGAAAGCGUUUUUCUGAGGAUAGGGGUGGAGAAUAGGACCAUGAGAUAAAGAAUAGGAGCAAGCACCAUGCUUUAUGAGUAGAUAUCAACAUUAGGAGCUGGGUAUAGCUCAAUGGUGGAGCACAUGCUUAGCACAUACCAGGCCCAGGGUUCAAUCUCCAGCACUAAAAGAAAAAAUAUAUUAAUUUUCAACUUAGAUCCUGUCCAUGAUACCCACUCCCUGAAAGAUUGUAUGGGAUUUUUUUUUUGUUUAAAUCUUUGAGAUUUAUUUCAUUGCACUUGUUUUUAGAAUUUCUGGAGUUUGAAAGGUUUCUUGGGACAACUUUCUGUAGGAAUGAAAGGUCACUGGGUUUGGUUGGAUUCUGUAAGUUAUAUCAGGAUAAUGAACCUCUAGACUUUGUUCCUCCAGUUGAUGAGGUUUAGUCAAACCAAUGUUUCUAUCCUUAUUUUGUGAAUGACUGAGAUGCAAGAUAACCUGAUGAGAAGAUGGUAGAGGUCAGAGUCAUCAAUUUGUCCACCAGCUGGUGAGGAUAUGACAGUUAACCCAAUACUUCCCAUUAAGGGAGUUAGGAAAGAGAAUGAUUCAUGAGUUCAGAACCAAAGUAUGUCAAUCCUGUUGUCUUAGGAAGUAAAAUAUCAAGCCAAUGAAUUAAAGACAAUUCUUUUGAGAAAGCACUUACGAUUCCAAAUGAAUGCCUAAGCAAUAACUAAGAUCCCUUUUGGCUUUAUGUAUUCAUUAUUUGCUUACUCUGCACCUAGCACUUGGCUCCUUGGGACUCACAAAGAUGAAUCAGACAGGGCAGGGCAGAAAUCAUACACUCCCAUUUUUUCAUCUGGAUGAUAUCCAGGAAGACUCUGUGGACCUGCUACCAUUUAAGUUAGCUCUGGAAGGAGAUGCAGGGUUUGCACCUGGGGAGAUGAGGUAGAAAGGCACUUCAGUAGACAAGGAUACAGGAGGAAGGCAUUGGAGUUGGUAUAUCUGGUUAGAACCCUGGGUUCCUGGAGUUCAGUGAAUGUGGUAGAAAAGAAGCCUGGAAAGGUAAGAAUGGGAUUGUGAAUGAUGCUAUGAAGAUGGACUUACUUCUCAGGCAACCAGGAGUCACUAAGGUUUCUAAACAGUAAAGUAGAUGAUAGGUCUGAGGGAAGAGUGAAGGGUGGUAAGGAUGCCACUCAGGUUAAAACAGAGAUCACACAAGAAGCAACAGAGAUCCAAAAUGGAGAAGCAAGUGUAGGAAUGGGGUGGGCGUGGGUCAGAACUAUCAAAACUUACAAAGCAUGGAAUCAUGGGAUGCGGAUGACCUUAGCUCAGAUAUCAUCUUCUCGUUGAAGACCUUUCUAAAUGUCCUAUUUAAAAAUUAACUCUGUAGCCCCAGUACCAACAGACACACUAACCUAUUGGUUUAAAAUUUGGGGUACCAGGGAUUGAACCCAGGGGCACCAAAAACUGAGCAACAUCCCAGCCCUUUUUUUAUUUUAAUUUUUUUGAAACAAGGUCUUGCUAAAUUUAUCAGGGCCUUGCUAAGUUGCCAAGGCUGGCCCUGCGAUCCUCCUUCCUCAGUCUCUGGAGUUGCUAGGAUUUGGGCAUGGUGGCACAUGCCUAUAAUCCCAUGCCCAGCUACUUCUUAUUUAUUUAUUUGUUUAUUUAUUUGUUUGUUUGUUUGUUUCCUUAAUUUUUUUUGUCUCCCCUGUUAAAAUGUAAGCUCUACAGCAACUGCUUGUUCACUGCUGAAUCUCCUGCACAGAGAACAGGGCCAGCACAUAGUGAUCCUUGAUAAAUAUUUAUAAAAUGAAAUGAAUAUGAGUCAAUGGAGACUGAGUGAAUGGAAGCACAGGCAUCCGCCUUCUGGCUUCUGAUGUUUCUUUCCCUCAUGGAGAAUGUCUCACCAUGUUUUCUCUCCUCUGCUCAGGUCCUCCCCUUGCAGGGGCACAAACGAUGAGUAAGAACACAGAACAGCGGCCCCAGCCAGGUACUUGACUUAGAUGUAUACUCUCUCCUUUGCUUCUUAUGAAUUCCACGUGGUCCACUUCUGGAUGGAGGAUUUAGAAAAUAUGCAGUUGGACCUCCAUACCUGUGGGCUCUGCAUCCAGGGAUUCAAUCAACCUCAAAAUGAAAAAUGGUCAAAAAAAACAAAAAAAAAGGCUGUAGAUGUGCUGACUUUUUUCUUGUCAUUAUCCCCUAAAUAAUAGAGUAUAACAGCCAUUUAUGUAUCAUCUACAUUGUACUAGGUAUUAUAGUAAUCUAGAGAUGAUUUAAAAUAUAUGGGACGAUUAUGUAGGUCAUAUGCAAAUACUACAAUACAUUUCAUUGGGGGCUUGAGAAACCAUGGAUUUUGGUAUCUUUGAUGCAGGGGAAUAGGCAUGGCAGCUGGAACCAAUCCCCAAUCUAUGUGGAGAGAUAACUACUAUGUAUGUUAUGUCUGUCUUCUUUCCAAAAGAGUCUAUAUUUGAUUCCUUAUAAUAUAUCUGUGAAUUAAGUAAUAAGUAUUAAAAUCAGACAGACUUGUUAAAUAAUAUAGGUGAAAGGAACUUAAAGAUUGAAGUUCCAGGGCCCAGAAAGGUAAGUAAUUUGCUAAAAACUACACAGCUGGUGUAUGAAAGAACUUGAGUUUCACCCAGCAUCCUACAUUCUUGUCUGAGCCUUUUAUGCUUCACCAAACCAUACUUUCCAAAAAUAUCCUCAUCCUUUGAUGGAUCUAUUUAGCUUAAGACAGAAGACACUUUUAAACCAUGGUCUUAAAGACGUUUAGUAUUGGAAUGGAACUUAGAGACUCAAGACUAUUGACACCUUCUAUAAUGUUUUGGUCCUACACUUAACUCACCUUUAAUUCAAUACUUACAGAAGAGCAGGGAGUUGACUACUUAGUUCAGCUCAAUUCCACUCUCUGAGCCAAAGUCCUCCCAAUACCUUCCUCUUCAAAUUCCUUGUUUGCCCUCUGAAGAAAAGCCCUAUAUGAAAGUCCUUCAUGGAUCUAAAGUCAGCUGUUGUACCCAAGCCCAGACCCCAGCUUACCCUGUAUUUUUUACAUGACACAGCUGCUAUUAAGUCUGAACCAGCCAUCUCUUUUGAGAUGAGCUAACAUCAUUCUCCAUCUCUACCCAAGACAGAACAAGAGAAAAUUGCCNCAGUUAACCCAAUACUUCCCAUUAAGGGAGUUAGGAAAGAGAAUGAUUCAUGAGUUCAGAACCAAAGUAUGUCAAUCCUGUUGUCUUAGGAAGUAAAAUAUCAAGCCAAUGAAUUAAAGACAAUUCUUUUGAGAAAGCACUUACGAUUCCAAAUGAAUGCCUAAGCAAUAACUAAGAUCCCUUUUGGCUUUAUGUAUUCAUUAUUUGCUUACUCUGCACCUAGCACUUGGCUCCUUGGGACUCACAAAGAUGAAUCAGACAGGGCAGGGCAGAAAUCAUACACUCCCAUUUUUUCAUCUGGAUGAUAUCCAGGAAGACUCUGUGGACCUGCUACCAUUUAAGUUAGCUCUGGAAGGAGAUGCAGGGUUUGCACCUGGGGAGAUGAGGUAGAAAGGCACUUCAGUAGACAAGGAUACAGGAGGAAGGCAUUGGAGUUGGUAUAUCUGGUUAGAACCCUGGGUUCCUGGAGUUCAGUGAAUGUGGUAGAAAAGAAGCCUGGAAAGGUAAGAAUGGGAUUGUGAAUGAUGCUAUGAAGAUGGACUUACUUCUCAGGCAACCAGGAGUCACUAAGGUUUCUAAACAGUAAAGUAGAUGAUAGGUCUGAGGGAAGAGUGAAGGGUGGUAAGGAUGCCACUCAGGUUAAAACAGAGAUCACACAAGAAGCAACAGAGAUCCAAAAUGGAGAAGCAAGUGUAGGAAUGGGGUGGGCGUGGGUCAGAACUAUCAAAACUUACAAAGCAUGGAAUCAUGGGAUGCGGAUGACCUUAGCUCAGAUAUCAUCUUCUCGUUGAAGACCUUUCUAAAUGUCCUAUUUAAAAAUUAACUCUGUAGCCCCAGUACCAACAGACACACUAACCUAUUGGUUUAAAAUUUGGGGUACCAGGGAUUGAACCCAGGGGCACCAAAAACUGAGCAACAUCCCAGCCCUUUUUUUAUUUUAAUUUUUUUGAAACAAGGUCUUGCUAAAUUUAUCAGGGCCUUGCUAAGUUGCCAAGGCUGGCCCUGCGAUCCUCCUUCCUCAGUCUCUGGAGUUGCUAGGAUUUGGGCAUGGUGGCACAUGCCUAUAAUCCCAUGCCCAGCUACUUCUUAUUUAUUUAUUUGUUUGUUUGUUUCCUUAAUUUUUUUUGUCUCCCCUGUUAAAAUGUAAGCUCUACAGCAACUGCUUGUUCACUGCUGAAUCUCCUGCACAGAGAACAGGGCCAGCACAUAGUGAUCCUUGAUAAAUAUUUAUAAAAUGAAAUGAAUAUGAGUCAAUGGAGACUGAGUGAAUGGAAGCACAGGCAUCCGCCUUCUGGCUUCUGAUGUUUCUUUCCCUCAUGGAGAAUGUCUCACCAUGUUUUCUCUCCUCUGCUCAGGUCCUCCCCUUGCAGGGGCACAAACGAUGAGUAAGAACACAGAACAGCGGCCCCAGCCAGGUACUUGACUUAGAUGUAUACUCUCUCCUUUGCUUCUUAUGAAUUCCACGUGGUCCACUUCUGGAUGGAGGAUUUAGAAAAUAUGCAGUUGGACCUCCAUACCUGUGGGCUCUGCAUCCAGGGAUUCAAUCAACCUCAAAAUGAAAAAUGGUCAAAAAAAACAAAAAAAAAGGCUGUAGAUGUGCUGACUUUUUUCUUGUCAUUAUCCCCUAAAUAAUAGAGUAUAACAGCCAU